rnacentral:rRNA from 1 species
GAUGAACGCUGGCGGCGUGCUUAACACAUGCAAGUCGAACGGUGAAGGCGGAGCUUGCUCUGCUGGAUCAGUGGCGAACGGGUGAGUAACACGUGAGCAAUCUGCCCCUGACUCUGGGAUAAGCGCUGGAAACGGCGUCUAAUACUGGAUACGAGCUGCGAAGGCAUCUUCAGCAGCUGGAAAGAACUUCGGUCAGGGAUGAGCUCGCGGCCUAUCAGCUUGUUGGUGAGGUAACGGCUCACCAAGGCGUCGACGGGUAGCCGGCCUGAGAGGGUGACCGGCCACACUGGGACUGAGACACGGCCCAGACUCCUACGGGAGGCAGCAGUGGGGAAUAUUGCACAAUGGGCGGAAGCCUGAUGCAGCAACGCCGCGUGGGGGACGACGGCCUUCGGGUUGUAAACCUCUUUUAGCAGGGAAGAAGCGAAAGUGACGGUACCUGCAGAAAAAGCGCCGGCUAACUACGUG